rnacentral:lncRNA from 1 species
UACGAUGACUAAUAUAUCAUUAAGAGUAAUUAACUAUGAUCCAAGAAUAUGAUGCCUCUGAGAGUAUUAUACUACUUGGCACACUUGAAGAAGUGGAAAAAAUGGGGAUAUAAUUAUGUGUAUCUCUAAUGCAAGUGGCUCGAUGUUUAUCACUCUGUUCUACAAAAAUAAAUAAAAAAGUAUCAUAUUGGAACGCAAUUGAGGUAAGUAAAGCAUAAAUAUAUGCAUUUGUCCCCACUAUAUUGAUAUGCAUGUAUGAGAAUCUGAAACAAAUUAAAAAAGUCACCAAUUCGAAAGUUCCUAAAUCCUAACAACCAGGUGAGGAUUUUAAAUAGCAUGUCGAAGUGGAACAAAGAGGUGAAGAUGCAGCACAUCAGAGUAUUGAAUACUACGUACCAAGUAGUAGUAACUAAAAUCAGUGACAUGAAUAACAAUAAUUAAAUAGAGAGAGAGAGAGGGGUUGGUUGGUCGUUGAGAGUGGUAAAUGUGAAAAUUGAUGUAUGAUAGGAAAAAAAUGGACGCAUUAGGAGGAAAGUAAAUGAGAUAAAAUGAACCGCACUCUCAUGGUGAAGGGUAGCAAUUACUUCUGCUUAUUUGUGACUGGGUACUGC